rnacentral:rRNA from 1 species
GACGAACGCUGGCGGCGUGUUUAACACAUGCAAGUCGAACGAUGAAGCCGGAGCUUGCUCUGGUGAAUUAGUGGCGAACGGGUGAGUAACACGUGAGUAACCUGCCCUUGACUCUGGGAUAACUGCUAGAAAUGGUAGCUAAUACCGGAUACGACCCUCGGAGGCAUCUCCAGGGGGUGGAAAGAAUUUCGGUCAAGGAUGGACUCGCGGCCUAUCAGCUAGCUGGUGAGGUAACGGCUCACCAAGGCGACGACGGGUAGCCGGCCUGAGAGGGUGACCGGCCACACUGGGACUGAGACACGGCCCAGACUCCUACGGGAGGCAGCAGUGGGGAAUAUUGCACAAUGGGCGCAAGCCUGAUGCAGCAACGCCGCGUGAGGGAUGACGGCCUUCGGGUUGUAAACCUCUUUUAGUAGGGAAGAAGCGAAAGUGACGGUACCUGCAGAAAAAGCACCGGCUAACUACGUGCCAGCCGCCGCGGUAA